rnacentral:rRNA from 1 species
GAUGAACGUUGGCGGCGUGCCUAAUACAUGCAAGUCGAACGAAGACUGUAGUAAUACUGUCUUAGUGGCGAACGGGUGAGUAACGCGUGGGUGACCUGCCCCGAAGUGUGGGAUAACAGUUCGAAAGAACUGCUAAUACCGCAUAACAUCCAAGAGAUUAGAAGCUUUUGGAUUAAAGGAGUAAUUCGCUUCGGGAGGGGCCCGCGUCCCAUCAGCUAGUUGGUAAGGUAAUGGCUUACCAAGGCGAUGACGGGCAGGGGACCUGAGAGGGUGGCCCCCCACAAUGGAACUGAAACACGGUCCAUACACCUACGGGUGGCAGCAGUAGGGAAUAUUAGUAAUGGGCGAAAGCCUGAACUAGCAACGCCGCGUGUGCGAAGAAGGCCUUCGGGUUGUAAAGCACUUUUUGAGAGGAUGAGGAAGGACGGUACUCUCAGAAUAAGUCUCGGCUAACUACGUG